CCCAAACCAAUAAAGUUUUCUUUAUUGGGGUUGCGGACAUAUCAUAACGAAGAGGUAUCGUAAUUGAAGAGGUUUGGAAAGACCCACCACAGAAGGUAAUAGUCCUGUAUGUUAAACGAGAAGACUUUAGGUAUGAUCCAGAGUACCACGGGACACGUGAAACCCUGUGGGAAGCAGGAGGGACCACCCUCCAAGGCUAAAUACUACCUAGUGACCGAUAGCGUAUAGUACCGUGAGGGAAAGGUGAAAAGAACCCCGGGAGGGGAGUGAAAUAGAACCUGAAACCCUGCACUUACAAGCUGUGGAAGCACAUUUCUUGUGUGACCGCGUACUUUUUGUAGAACGGGCCAACGAGUUACGUUAAGUAGCAAGGUUAAGCACUUAAGGUG
rnacentral:rRNA from 1 species